UCAUUAAUGUUUGGCGGAAAUCAUAACUUGCUCGCUGAUGUAAUUUUAACAGACGUCGGUCAGUUGGUUAUGAAUUCUGAUAAAUGUUUGCUC